ensembl:lncRNA
AUGCUGCCUCCCAAGGAACGGAGCCAAGCCGAAAAGCCGCAGCCUUGGGCAGGGGCUCUGCUGCCGUCCAGCCCUAGCUGGGGCAACUGGUGGCGAUCCUGGGAGUGGCCCCUCAUAAUAUCUGGGGGCCUUCCAGUUCUGCCCGCCUGUCCUGGAGGACCAAGUCCGCAAGCAGUAUCCUCUUCCAAUCCCAUCCCAGCCAGCGGCCCUCCUUGUAUCUUGUGGCAGAGAGUUCCACCCUUCCUUUCUGUCAGCCCCCGAGAAGGCCUUUCUCCCCUGUGCCAGCUGCCCUCCCUGGUGGCGCAGAAGAGGAGUAGAGGAGAGGAAAGCAGGGCCGGACGGAGCCCUCGACCGACCGGAGGGGCCGCAGCCAGCAAGGUGCUUCUGAUGAGCAGCCGCUGGCCCAGGACCUCCAGGCCAAUGUGGACCGCGGUGCUCCUCCUGUGCCUGCCCCGUCUGGGCCUUGGAAUGCCCCUCCACGCGCUCCAGUCUCUGUCGCCGGCCAGGAACGAGUCUGCCCAUGGGCCCCAGCCCCCCAGCCCUUCCGGGGCCCUUCCCGUCACACCCACCGUGCUGGCCACCUCCAGCGAAGCCCCCGCCUUGUCCCUCAACCUGGGGCUCAAUUUCAAGAUCAAGGUGCGUAGCCAGGGGAAGAGCCGGCCCGGCGAGGGGACGGCGGGAGCCACCUCCACCCGGCCAGCCGUUCCCACCCAAUCCCAGGCACCCGGCGGCGGUGCCCGCUUCUGGGCGGAGGCCCUGGGGGGCUCGGGCUGGCCAGGCCCUGGCCCCGCUGCGGCUGAUGAGCUUCCCUCAGAGCCCGGGGGGUGGGCCUGGGAUGGUUCCUCAGCCCGCAGCACCCACCUUGACCCCUGGGCGCCUGCCCCCACGCCCCAGCACCCCUUCUCCCUUUGGCCAAGGCGGGCGGAGAAAGGACCGGUGGCGCCGGCGGUGCCCUCCCAGGAGGAGGGGGAGAGCAAGGAGCUGGAGUUCAAGAUCGACAUCGACCUGACGGCGGGGCUGGGCAAUGAGGGGGCCCUGGCACCCAACGGCAGCGGCAGCAGCAGCAGCAGCCCCGGCAGGCAGUACCCGCUGCUCCCGGGCCUCAGGGUGGGCAUCAAGGAGAUCACCAGCAAACUGGGUCUCUUCGGAUCCACGCUGCCGCCUGAGACAUGGGAACCCCCGGAGUGGAACGCCACAGGCAGCUCCUGGCAGGAAGAGGGGGACUCGCACCCGACUCCAGUGUGGGUCUCAGGACCAGGCCUGGAGUCCAUCAGCCUGUCCGCCUCCCCGGGCAGCGAGGGGGCGUUUGUGGCCCUGCCCGGCUGCCUGCCUGGUGACCGCCCGGAGGACUGCGGCUCCCCGCGGCCGGAGCUCGACUCGCCCCCGCUCUCCUCCCUGCUCCUGCCCUCCCUCCCCCUGUUCGUGCCUCUGCAUUCGGACUGGAACACGGCCCAGGCCGACUGGGGCCUGGCCUGGGAGGCCCACAUCUUCGGCGCGGGCGCCCUCUUUGCUCUCCUGGCCCUGCUCCACCUGCUGCUGCUGGGGGCCGGGGGCGCGCGGGCCGGGCUGCUCUUCGGCGAGGCCUGGGGGCAGCUGGAGCGCUUCCCCGACGUGGCCGUCCGGCUGAUGCACGACCUGGCCCUGCCGUGCCUGACCUCCGCCUUCGCCGUGGCCUUCCUCCUCCUCUCCCUCCGCUCGCGGCUCCAGCGGUCGGCGCGCCCCGGCUCCCGGCCGGCGUGCCUGCUGGCCCUGCUGGUCGUCCUGCACUUCUCGGUGGCGGCGGGGGCCGUCUUGGCCGCUGACCUGCUGAGCCUCUUCCCCUUCGUGCUCCUGGCCUCGCGAGGGGUCUUUGCCCUCCUGGCGGCCGGGCUGUCCUCCUCCUUCCUCAUCUUCUCCUGGGUGGCCCUUCGCCGAGGCCCGAGAGUGGCAGCGGGCCGCCCGCACCGCUCUCCCGGCCGCCUGCUUCGGACUGCUCAGCGCCGCCCUGCAGACCUACGCCAUCCUGCACGCCCUGGGCUUCGGCCUCAGCCAGGACCUCUUCGGGCCCUGGCCCUGGUGGGCCCUGCAGCUGGCGUGCCGGCUCUGCGAGGCGGGGAUGGGGCUGCCCUUGGCCUGCCUCGGCCUCUACCCGCUCCUCUGCCCGCCCUGCGGCCACGAGGGCUGGGGCCGGUGCUGCGGGCGGCUCCUCUGCCUCUCCCCGGACCACCGCGCCGCCGGGGCCGCCGUCAAGGCCCAGAUCCUGCCCAACAACCAUUUCCAGCAGUGGGGCUUGUCCCAGCACCAGAAGCUGGUGGUCUGCGACACCAUCACCCGCAGCGAGUCCGACUACCUCCCGCUCUACGCCCUGCCCGCCGGCGACCCCUCGGGCGCCCGAG